ACAGGCGGCUGUGCCACCCUGGAACAACCAGUUUUGUCUGGUCGUGGUAGCUAAGCAGCAUUGGGCCUGGUUAGUCCUGGGUUGGGAGAACGCCUGGGGGGGCACCAGGUGCGGCCAGCU
rnacentral:rRNA from 1 species